rnacentral:rRNA from 1 species
GAGCGGACGAGCAUGGAUAAUAAUCGGGCAUAAGUAUAUUACCGAAGCUAUGGAUUUACAGGCAACUGUAAGUGGUAGGGGAGCAUUCUAACAGGGUUGAAGGUGUAUCGUAAGGUAUGCUGGACUGGUUAGAAAAGAAAAUGAAGGCAUAAGUAACGAUAAUGCGGGCGAGAAACCCGCAAACCGAAAAACUAAGGUUUCCACAGCUAUGCUAAUCAGCUGUGGGUUAGUCUGGUCCUAAGGCGAACCCGAAAGGGACAGUCGAUGGCUAACGGGUUAAUAUUCCCGUACUACUAAUUACUGUGAUGGGGUGACGGAGUGAUGAAAGCGCCGCGAACUGACGGAAUAGUUCGUUGAAGUACCUACCUAUAAGAUGCGCAGGCAAAUCCACGCGUCUUGGGGAAAUACGAUAGUACUCGGAGUCUUCGGACAAAGAGAUAGUGCGCCUAAGGGCUUCCAAGAAAAACCUCUAAACUUCAGGUAAUUAGUACCAGUACC